rnacentral:rRNA from 1 species
UACGUAGGGUGCGAGCGUUAAUCGGAAUUACUGGGCGUAAAGCGAGCGCAGACGGUUACUUAAGCAGGAUGUGAAAUCCCCGGGCUUAACCUGGGAACUGCGUUCUGAACUGGGUAGCUAGAGUAUGUCAGAGGGGGGUAGAAUUCCACGUGUAGCAGUGAAAUGCGUAGAGAUGUGGAGGAAUACCGAUGGCGAAGGCAGCCCCCUGGGAUAAUACUGACGUUCAUGCUCGAAAGCGUGGGUAGCAAACAGGAUUAGAUACCCCGGUAGUCC